CAGCCGCCACGGGAAUACGAAGGGUGCAAGCGUUACUCGGAAUUACUGGGCGUAAAGCGUGCGUAGGUGGUGGUUCAAGUCAGUUGUGAAAUCCCUGGGCUCAACCUGGGAACUGCUUCUGAGACUGAACGACUAGAGUACGGUAGAGGGUGGUGGAAUUUCCGGUGUAGCGGUGAAAUGCGUAGAUAUCGGAAGGAACAUCAAUGGCGAAGGCAGCCACCUGGGCCUGUACUGACACUGAGACACGAAAGCGUGGGGAUCAAACAGGAUUAGAUACCCGCGUAGUCCCUGUCUCUUAUAC
rnacentral:rRNA from 1 species